AGCUUCAUAGCGCAGGCGGAAGCGCGCCGGGCUCGUGACCCGGAGGUCCUCCGAUUGAAACGGAGUGAAGCUA